UGGGGAAUAUUGCACAAUGGGCGCAAGCCUGAUGCAGCGACGCCGCGUGAGGGAUGGAGGCCUUCGGGUUGUAAACCUCUUUCGCCAGUGAAGCAGGCCAUCUUCUUUGUGGGGUGGUUGACGGUAGCUGGAUAAGAAGCGCCGGCUAACUACGUGCCAGCAGCCGCGGUAAUACGUAGGGCGCGAGCGUUGUCCGGAAUUAUUGGGCGUAAAGAGCUCGUAGGCGGCUCGUCGCGUCUGUCGUGAAAUCCCCUGGCUUAACUGGGGGCUUGCGGUGGGUACGGGCCGGCUUGAGUGCGGUAGGGGAGACUGGAAUUCCUGGUGUAGCGGUGGAAUGCGCAGAUAUCAGGAGGAACACCGGUGGCGAAGGCGGGUCUCUGGGCCGUUACUGACGCUGAGGAGCGAAAGCGUGGGGAGCGAACAGG
rnacentral:rRNA from 1 species